AUACGUAGGGCGCGAGCGUUGUCCGGAAUUAUUGGGCGUAAAGAGCUCGUAGGUGGCCUGUCGCGUCCGCCGUGAAAUCCCGGGGCUUAACCGUGGGUCUGCGGUGGAUACGGGCCGGCUUGAGGUAGGUAGGGGCAAGCGGAAUUCCUGGUGUAGCGGUGAAAUGCGCAGAUAUCAGGAGGAACACCGGUGGCGAAGGCGGCUUGCUGGGCCUUACCUGACGCUGAGGAGCGAAAGCGUGGGGAGCGAACAGGAUUAGAUACCCUGGUAGUCCACGCUGUAAACGUUGGGCGCUAGGUGUGGGGUUCUUCCACGGGCUCCGUGCCGUAGCUAACGCAUUAAGCGCCCCGCCUGGGGAGUACGGCCGCAAGGCUAAA
rnacentral:rRNA from 1 species